rnacentral:rRNA from 1 species
CCCUUCGACGUCUGGGGCCGCACGCGCGCUACACUGACGAAGUCAGCGAGCAUGUCCUACGCCGACAGGUGCGGGGAAUCUUGUCAAACUUCGUCGUGAUGGGGAUUGAUUAUUGAAAUUCUUGAUCAUCAACGAGGAAUUCCUAGUAAGCGCAAGUCAGCAGCUUGCGUUGAUUACGUCCCUGCCCUUUGUACACACCGCCCGUCGCUACUACCGAUUGAAUGGUUUAGUGAGAUCUUCGGAUUGGCGCCACUGCGGCUCAGCAAUGGGCUCGGUGGAUGCCGAAAAGUUGAUCAAACUUGAUCAUUUAGAGGAAGUAAAAGUCGUAACA